rnacentral:rRNA from 1 species
GACGAACGCUGGCGGCGUGCUUAACACAUGCAAGUCGAGCGGUAAGGCCCUUUCGGGGGUACGACGAGCGGCGAACGGGUGAGUAACACGUGGGUGACCUGCCCUCAGCUCUGGGAUAAGCCCGGGAAACUGGGUCUAAUACCGGAUAUGACUCCAUGACGCAUGUUGUGGGGUGGAAAGCCUUGUGCGGCUGAGGAUGGGCCCGCGGCCUAUCAGCUUGUUGGUGGGGUGAUGGCCUACCAAGGCGACGACGGGUAGCCGGCCUGAGAGGGCGACCGGCCACACUGGGACUGAGAUACGGCCCAGACUCCUACGGGAGGCAGCAGUGGGGAAUCUUGCGCAAUGGGCGAAAGCCUGACGCAGCGACGCCGCGUGAGGGAUGACGGCCUGGU